GUUUCUGGGUGGUGUUCAGCACCAGGGACAGGCAUGUUUGUGUGUGGAUGGUGUUCAGCACCAAGGACAGGUGUGUUUGUGU
rnacentral:pre_miRNA from 1 species